rnacentral:lncRNA from 1 species
UCUUUCUCUCUUCUCGAAGCCACUCGUCGUCGUCCUCUUCCGCCGCCGUCGCGAGCAAUACGUGAAAGGCUAUGUUUUCAGGUUGAUACGUGACUUUCUCUCUCCAACUCUGACAGUCCAAUACGUGAUUUCUCUCGCCAACUCUUUGGUUUCUGGUUUCUCUCUCUAAGGUUUGGUUCAAAUUUCUGUUAAUUCUCAUUUUACUAAUUAAUUGUCAAUAUGAUCAUAUAUAUACGCUAUGUUUCUAAUAGAAUGGGUAUUGAUUGUUUGGGUUUAUGUUGUUUUUAUGUUUUAUAUAGAAUGGUUGAUACAAGGAAGAAGGAUGGAAAGAGGAAAAGAAUCACAGAUGGUGAUUAAGACAGAAGCUGAUCAAGUUCAUAGCCAGAAGAUAUUUCCAACCCAAAAAUUUUUAAAGGUGUGCUAAUUUAAAUUUUGUUAUUGUUACUAUCAUAUAACUGUUUGGUUACUUUUGCAUUAUGUUUUGGUUACUGUUAGCUUGUGAUUCGGAUACCAUUUUUGUUACCUUGAUUUGGUAUUUUGGUUACUUUUUUAUGUUGUUAUGAUUACCAUGUAUUUGCUUAGUAUACAUGGUUGACUAAAUUGAUUUUGGUGUACAUGUUGUUUAUGUAUUGGUUACCAUUAAAACAUAUUUUGGUUACUAUCAUAUAAAUAUUUGGUUACUUCUUUAGUAUGUUUUUGGUUAUUGUUAGUUUCUGAUUUGGAUUCUAUUUUUGUUUUCUUGAGUUGAGAUUUUGGUUACUGUUUUUUGUUGUUCUGGUUACCAUGUAUUUGCUUAGUAUAUAUGGGUUGACUAAAUUGUGUUUGGUAUAUAUGUUGUUUAUGUAUUGGUUAUCAUUAAUAUAUGUUUUGGUUACUAACACAUAACUGUUUGGUUACUUCAUUAGUAUAUUUUUUUUUUUUUGCUUAUGAUUUGGAAACUAUUUUUUCCCUCAAUUGGGAUUUUGGUUACUUUUAUAUGUUGUUUUGGUUCCAAUGUAUUUGCUUAGUAUAUAUUGGUUUACUAAACUGGGUUUGGUAUACUUGUUGUUUUAUGUGUUGGUUACCAUUAAAACAUGGUUUGGUUACUAGUAUAUAACUGUUUGGUUACUUCUUUAGUAUAUUUUUUUGGUAUACAUGUUUUUGUUUUGGUGACCUUUAAAUUAUGUUUUGGUUAAUAUUAUAUAUAACUGUUUGUUUACUACAUAAAAUGGUCUGUACUACAUGUUUAUAUUUUGGUCACCAUUAGAUUAUAUAAUAUAACUUUUUGGUUACUACUUUAUUAUGGUAUGGUUAAUGUUAUAUUAUGAUAUGAUAAUUAUUAUUGUGCAGUCAAUGUGGGAUGUUGGUUAUUUGUUAUAGUCUGUUUUGGCUACUGUGUAAUUGUUAUAUUAUGUUUUGGUUAGUAUGCUUUUAUUUGUUGGUCACUACGUAACUGUUUAUGUUAUAAAUAUUGUUUAUAUCUGGUUACUAAUGACUGUGUAAAUUUGAUUUUGUUUAUUUACAGUUAUGGAAUCUUUACUGUGAGGAAUGCAACAGAAAAUUCACUGGAAAAGUUAUAUAUUGGUGUGACAUGAAAGUCCCCAGCAUUAUUACCAAGAAAUUGAUAAUCUUUACUGUGAAGAAUGCAACAGAUGAUUUUGUUACUGUUACCUUAUGAUUUGGAUACCAUUCUUUUUCUCUCAAUUGGGAUUUUGGUUACUUUUAUAUGUUGGUUUGGUUACAAUGUAUUUGCUUAGUAUACAUUGGUUGACUAAACUGGGUUUGGUCUACAUGUUGUUUAUGUGUUGGUUACCAUUAAAACAUGGUUUGGUUACUAGCAUAUAACUGUUUGGUUAUUUUUAUUCUAACAUGUACAUUAUGUACCCUCACAUGUACAUUAUUUUUGGUUAGUAACAUAUAACUGUUUGGUUACUGCAUUAGUAUAUUUUUUGUUACUGUUAGCUUAUGAUUUGGAUACCAUUCUUUUUUCCUCAAUUGGG